CCUACGGGAGGCAGCAGUGAGGAAUAUUGGUCAAUGGACGGAAGUCUGAACCAGCCAUGCCGCGUGCAGGAAGACGGCUCUAUGAGUUGUAAACUGCUUUUGUACAAGGGUAAACCUGAAUACGUGUAUUCAGCAGAAAGUACUGUACGAAUAAGGAUCGGCUAACUCCGUGCCAGCAGCCGCGAUAAUACGGAGGAUCCAAGCGUUAUCCGGAUUUAUUGGGUUUAAAGGGUGCGUAGGCGGAUUGAUAAGUUAGAGGUGAAAUGUCCGAGCUUAACUCGGGAACUGCCUCUAAUACUGUUGAUCGAGAGAGUAGAUGCGGUAGGCGGAAUGUAUGGUGUAGCGGUGAAAUGCUUAGAGAUAAUACAGAACACCGAUUGCGAAGGCAGCUUACCAAUCUAUAUCUGACGUUGAGGCACGAAAGCGUGGGGAGCAAACAGGAUUAGAUACCCUGGUAGUC
rnacentral:rRNA from 1 species